GGGCGGGAGGCGCUGGGCGCCAUCUUGGGGAAGGGCACCCCGAAGUUCGGGAGUGACAGGGCAAGCGGGGAACGGCUUCAAAGUGACAGAGAGCACGCUUGUGAUGUCUGCAGCCACAACAGUGGGAUGGUGCCCCAUGGCUCCUUGAUACAACGCAGCUACAGCCGUGCCACAGAUGUGAUGCCAAGCUCCAGGCUCACCUGCUCAGGUGGCAAUGGCAGGAGCAGCACUCUGGGACAGCUGCAAAACCUGUCCGAGAAGCAGGGCAGCUCCAGCUAUGUCUUAGGGACCUGUGAUCCACCUCAUACUGAUGAACUGAAAGAGGCCACAAUGAGAUCCCAAACAGAUGAUUUGGGAGGAGUACAUAAAGGAGUUCCAGUUUAGAAAUGGCUGAGAAAGUCAGUGCCAGAAACAAUUAUUUUGUGCUGCUCUCAUCCACUCUAGUCUGCGUUUUCUCACUUUUGCUGAAUUUCUAUAAAUAACUAUCAACUGACAAUGCCUGCAAAAUUGCUCCUUGUCACGAAAGUAUUAAACUGAUCU